UUCGCAAUGCCCGAAAGGGUGACGAAGCGACGCCGCGUGGGUGAAGAAGGCCUUCGGGUUGUAAAGCCCUGUCAGGAGUUAUGAAAUGUAAGUGCGCUAAUAUCGUGCUUAUUUGACAAAGGCUCCAAAGGAAGCCACGGCUAACUCUGUGCCAGCAGCCGCGGUAAUACAGAGGUGGCGAGCGUUGUUCGGAAUUAUUGGGCGUAAAGAGCACGUAGGUGGGUUUGCAAGUCAGAUGUGAAAGCCUUCUGUUCAACGGAAGAAUUGCAUCUGAAACUGCUAAUCUUGAGUAUAGGAGGGGAGAAUGGAACUUCUGGUGGAGCGGUGAAAUGCGUAGAUAUCAGAAGGAACGUCGGCGGCGAAAGCGACUCUCUGGCCUAUUACUGACACUGAGUGUGCGAAAGCUAGGGGAGCAAACGGGAUUAGAUACCCCGGUAGUCCUAGCUGUAAACGAUGGGCACUAAGUAGAGGGGUUUU
rnacentral:rRNA from 1 species